rnacentral:rRNA from 1 species
AUUGAACGCUGGCGGCAUGCCUUACACAUGCAAGUCGAACGGCAGCGGACCUUCGGGUGCCGGCGAGUAGCGAACGGGUGAGUAAUAUAUCGGAACGUACCUUUCAGUGGGGGAUAACGUAGCGAAAGUUACGCUAAUACCGCAUAUUCUGUGAGCAGGAAAGCAGGGGAUCGCAAGACCUUGCGCUGAUUGAGCGGCCGAUAUCAGAUUAGCUAGUUGGUGAGGUAAAGGCUCACCAAGGCGACGAUCUGUAGCGGGUCUGAGAGGAUGAUCCGCCACACUGGAACUGAGACACGGUCCAGACUCCUACGGGAGGCAGCAGUGGGGAAUUUUGGACAAUGGGCGCAAGCCUGAUCCAGCCAUGCCGCGUGAGUGAAGAAGGCCUCGGUUG